rnacentral:rRNA from 1 species
UCUAUGGAGAGUUUGAUCCUGGCUCAGGACGAACGCUGGCGGCGUGCCUAAUACAUGCAAGUCGAGCGGAGUUUUGAAAAGCUUGCUUUUCAAAACUUAGCGGCGGACGGGUGAGUAACACGUGGGCAACCUGCCCUUGAGACGGGGAUAACUCCGGGAAACCG